rnacentral:rRNA from 1 species
GAUGAACGCUGGCGGCGUGCCUAAUACAUGCAAGUCGAGCGAACAGACGAGGAGCUUGCUCCGCUGACGUUAGCGGCGGACGGGUGAGUAACACGUGGAUAACCUACCUAUAAGACUGGGAUAACUUCGGGAAACCGGAGCUAAUACCGGAUAAUAUAUUGAACCGCAUGGUUCAAUAGUGAAAGACGGUUUUGCUGUCACUUAUAGAUGGAUCCGCGCCGCAUUAGCUAGUUGGGAAGGUCACGGCUUACCAAGGCAACGAGGCGUAGCCGAACUGAGAGGGGGAUCGGCCACAUGGGAACUGAGACACGGACCAGACUACUACGGGAGGCAGCAGAAGGGAAUCUGCCGCAAUAGGCGAAAGCCUGGCGGAGCAACGGCGCGUGAGAGAUAAAGGUGUUCGGAGCGUAAAACUGUGUUAUUGGGGAAAAACAAAUUUGUAAGUAGACAAGCACGGAUUGACGGUAACUAAUCAGAAAGCCACGGCUAACUACGUG